AUAGUCUCUAAAGCAAAAUUAGGGCUUUUUCAUCGUCUCCAACUAAUUACUUUUAUCUUCGCUGGUCGUCGCUGUCACGCCCUCUUUCGCCUGUUUGUCGUCUCCCCGUUCUCCAUUGGAGCACAGGAAGGUCGCCAAUCACCCUCCGUAGCUGCCGGUCUUCGCACAUUAUUUGUAUAUCUAAAAUCCCUUAAUCAACUUUCCUCUCAGUGUCUCUCUCUCGUUCCUUGCAAAUCCGACUGUUGACGAAGAAGCCAACGCCUUCCGCCCUCUCCUGCGAAUCUACGAUGAAGAUGAUAGACGACAACAAAGCAAGCAGAAGCCAUGGUGGACGACGAAGCUAGAAGUCGACGCCUCUGCCCCCGCCUUCCCCUGCGAAUCUGUGAAUCUGGUGCUACUUCAGAGUGCAAUUAGGGUUAUGAACUAAAUUAUGAAUACAUUCUCUCCACCAGAAGUGAUGCUUUUCCAGGAUGAAACAGUGGUGAAGAAGUGCAGAAAGUAAGAUCUAUUGGGAGAACUUACAUUCAUCUAUAGCAUCAAGAAACUAAGGUCUAUUGGGAGAAGAGGAGAAGAAGAAAGGGCUUUCUCUUUCUCCUGCUGAUUCUAUCUGUGUCCAAAGGAAGAAAUUCACCAUUCACAUAUGUCAUUGUUGACAACCAAAAGUGAGUGUGUUAAUCUUUGCAAUAUGUGGGGAAUUUUAUGAGGUUCUACCAUACAUAUUACUAUUAUCUUGAAGGGUCAUUGUUCUAUGAUGUUCCAGAAAAACUCGUACAUGCAUUUCCACUCAAGAAUAUCCACACAAAUCAAAAUUGUCUUCAGCCCUUGAUGGAGUAAAUAUUGCCUACUUAGAUGGAAGAUUGCAUGAGACUGCUUUUCUUGUAGCGCAAGAGGUAUACCCAUCAUCUACACUUGAUCAAAGUCAUUGAAGUAGAAGGCUGUGGAUUCUGCAUUGAUCGACAUUGAAGCAGUGCUGGAUUUGAAGGCUUAUUUGGGUGCAUCGAGCAUACUUAAGUAGUAUUGAUUAAGUAGUAUAUAUUUUCAUGACUUUUUUUUUUUUUUUUUUUUUUUUUUUUUUUUUUUUUGUAUGAUAAUAGUUCAUUGUUGGAAGUACAAUGGACAUGACCAUAAUUUUGAUGUUUAAAUAUAUUUUCAAUUU